UACAGAGGGGGCAAGCGUUGUUCGGAAUUACUGGGCGUAAAGGGCGCGUAGGCGGCCUGCUAAGUCGAACGUGAAAUCCCUGGGCUCAACCCAGGAACUGCGUCCGAUACUGGUUGGCUUGAAUCCGGGAGAGGGACGUGGAAUUCCAGGUGUAGCGGUGAAAUGCGCAGAUAUCAGGAAGAACACCCGUGGCGAAGGCGGUUCUCUGGGACGGUACUGACGCUGAGACGCGAAAGCGUGGGGAGCGAACAGG
rnacentral:rRNA from 1 species